rnacentral:rRNA from 1 species
GAGGUCCAGCCUGCCCAGUGACCACAAGUUUAACGGCCGCGGUAUUUUGACCGUGCAAAGGUAGCGCAAUCACUUGUCUUUUAAAUAAAGACCCGUAUGAAUGGUUAAACGAGGGCUUAACUGUCUCCCAUUUCCAGUCAAUGAAAUUGAUCUACCCGUGCAGAAGCGGGUAUAAAUAUACAAGACGAGAAGACCCUUUGGAGCUUAAGGUACAAAACUCAACCACGUCAAUCAACUCAAUAAAAAGCAACUUUUUACUAAACCUUAUGACAAAUGAGACCAUACCUUCGGUUGGGGCGACCAAGGAGGAAAAGAAAGCCUCCAAGUGGACUGGGUAAACACCCUAAAACUAAGAGAGACAUCUCUAAGCCACAGAACAUCUGACCAUAAAUGAUCCGGUCAACUAAGACCGAUCAACGAACCAAGUUACCCUAGGGAUAACAGCGCAAUCCCCUCCCAGAGUCCAUAUCGACGAGGGGGNUUACCACCUCG